AAUUUGUUUGCUGUUUGCCCCGGCCUUUGGUUGGUGUUGUUUGCUAUCGUUGCCGCUGGGGAGUCAUCGAAUUCUAUUCAGAUUCAGAUUGUGGACAUAAAUCACGAAAACGUUGAAAAUGUCUGGCCAAUAUGACAUUUUCGAUAAUCUAAACAGUUAUUUAAAUGCGGACGACGACGUCGAUUUCGCCGAUGAAGAACUGGCAGCAGAGGAAAGAAAUCUAGACGACCAGGUGCCCGAUCCGGACGAAAUACCGCCGCCUGUCAAGCAGAAACGAGGUCCCAAAGGCAAACAGGUGAAAAAUAAACCGGAGCCGAUCCCAGUUUCUCGUAGGAAAAGCAAGCGUCUAUCCGUCACAGCAGCAACAGAUGCCGAAUUGUUGACCGAUGAUGAUGAUGAUGACGACGACGAUAGAGACGAAGGGCUGUCCAGUGGUUCUUCAACGUCACAUCUUGGCACAUCCAGCUCACACACGUCGUUAAAAAGCCAACCGUCCUCGGAGGCGCGGUCGGUCGACUUGUCUGGUGACGAUUUGGAUGUGCAAAUAAGGGAAGUUCAGAAGCAGUAUGACUUGAUUUUCAACAAUCCUGCUUGCAUUGAUCAGGAUAAGCGUUACUUUGCCAGUCUUAAAAGACGCUUCCAAACGAUGAUGAGGCGACAAAAGACCUCCCGUGGAAGAAGCACCCUAGCAUUUAUGAGAGAUUUCGAUUCUUUGAAGGAGACUAUCUAUAAUAUUUGUAUAAAUUGUAACCUAAUGGCCCCGUCGUCGACUGCUUCACAUUCCAUGGCCGUUCAGGGUGUAAGCGCAGGGCCAUCAUCGUCGCGUCGAGCCAGACGGCAGCAGCAACCAGAAGUGAUCAACCUGGUGGACAGUCCGGCACUGAUUCUACCUGGAACGAUAAACCUGGACUCCGACGAGGAAGACAUCACGCCUGCCGCUGGCAACAAAAGUGCCAAUGUAUCGUUCGAUUCGGCCAACUACGAGGUAUCGUUGAAAAUCAAGUGGGAGGGCAAAAUCGAACGGUUCAACCAUAGGAAGUUCCAGAAGUUUGGUGACUUGAUUGCGGUGCUGGCUGAACGAGCUGGAGCCGAUCCCAGUCACGUGAUCCUGGAUUUGGACGAACGCAUCAUCGAACCGAACGAUACGCCAGAUUCGAUCGGGUAUCGAAUAUCGCAGUUUAUAGCUGGCCGCGUGGUACGAGGCGAGCUGGCUGAAGUCUUUGCCAACAAGAAUAAGUCCAACGGCACUAGUCGCACGGCCAAACCACGGAAACCAAAAGAUGACAACGAGAUCACCCUGAAAGUGCAAUCGGACCGAUGGAAGAAGCCUCUGGAAGUGCCAAUGCGAAAAGACAACAAAAUGAUGAUUUUGAUAAUCAAAUGUGCCGAGGAACUGAAAUGCCAACCGGGUGACAUCAAGCUGUCCUUUGAUGGGGACGCCAUAACAAUGGAUUCCACGCCGAUCGAUCUGGAACUGGAAGGUGGCGAAAUUCUGGAUCUUCGUUUCCUAAAGGGAUGAUGUUGCUUGUUAUUUACUGCAUAUUUAUAGAAUUGUUAACAUUACUCAUGCAUUACGUGAACUGAAGAAGUAUUCCCUAAAAUGUUAUUUGUGAAAAAGCGUCUUUUAAUAAACAAUUUUCCUAUAUUGAGUACAAA